rnacentral:lncRNA from 1 species
UCAAAAUCUUAGUCUGAUGAAUCUUUCUCCUAAGAUAGAAAACCUAGUCUGAUGAAUUUUCUCCUAGGAUAAACAUCUUAGUCUGAUGAAUCUUUCUCCUAAGAUACAAAAAAAAAUCUUAGUCUGAUUAAUUUUUAUCCUAAGAUAGAAGACCUAGCAUGAUGAACUUUCUCCUAGGAUAAAAAUCUUAGUCUGAUGAAUCUUUCUCCUAAGAUACCAAAAAAAAGACCUAGUCUGAUGAAUUUUCUCCUAGGAUUAAAAUCUUAGUCUGAUGAAUCUUUCUCCUAAGAUAGAAGACCUAGUCUGAUGAACUUUCUCCUAGGAUAGAAAUCUUAGUCCGAUGAACCUUUCUCCUAAGAUACCAAAAAAGAAGUAGAAAAGAGACCUAGUC